CUGUCCACCAGUGUGUUACCAUUGUGGAGGAAUGACCCUGAUCCAGUCUGCUGCAGGCCUAGUGUCUCAGGUUCUGUCCACCAGUGUUACCAUCGUGGAGAAUGACCUGAUCCAGUCUGCUGCAGGCCUAGAGUCUCAGGUUCUGUCCACCAGUGUUUCCAUCGUGGAGAAUGACCUGAUCCAGUCUGCUGCAGGCCUAGUGUCUCAGGUUCUGUCCAGCAGUGACGCUAGAGUGAAGGAUCGUGAUGAUUCCACACUGAGAGACUCCAACCAACCUGAGGUCCAUGUGGCUGAUGUCUCAACCAAGAGAAGUAGACUAGUCAUCACUAUUUCUAUGUUUUCAACCGAGAGUGGCAAUGCUUCGGUCCAUGAAGUUGAUGCUAUUGCUACCAGCCUGGAGCACUCUUCUGAGAAAAUGUCGACCUCUACCGCUGAUGGCCACAUUGUUUCAUCCACUGCUGUAGCCAAUCAGAAGAAAACAAGGGGUGGAUUCCUCUCAUCUCUACGGAGACUGUUCACAAGAAAGAACAGGAUGCCUGCUAAAGUGGCUUCCAAGAAGGAGCACGUUCACUUGGUUGACCGCCUCAAUGCUGAAGUCACCCACUGAGGACACUCACUCACUGCUGAAGGCAUCCAGAAUGAUGCUUCUGUUUCUCCUCAACGCCACCUACACCCCUGCCCCUCUCCCCCACACCAAACCCUACCAGGGUUGAGGUGAAUUCCAGAUCAAUUCAGUCAAUUCAGCAAGUCAACUGAAAUUCCAAUUCCAAUUGUUUCUCAUAGGAGGCAAUGAGGUAAAUUUGAAUUGCUAUUGGAAUUUCAGUUUACUUACUGAAUUGACUGAAUUGAAAAUGAAUUGACCCCAACCCUGAUCCCCAAGCCCCCACCCCAUCCAUUUCUAUCUUCAGUAAAUUUUGUAGAAUUUUAUUUGAAGUUGUUUUGGAUCUUCAUUAAAACCACAAUACAUCUCUAAUGAGGGUCAGUCAUGUUACACAUCUAGAUUUAUCAUCAAAUAUUGUAGAAUUCAACAACAAAUGCAGUGGUUUAGCAGUUCAACUUCAGUACUUGUCAAUGAGUCACUGCACUGUGACCUUCAGAAACAUGUAACAUUGUGGAGAAACUGAAAAUUUUGCUGACAUUCGGUUACAAUGUAACUACACUGAACAAAAAUAUUAGCGCAACAUGUAAAGUGUUGGUCCCAUGUUUCAUGAGCUGAAAUAAAAUCCUAGAAGUGUUCCAUAUGUACAAAAAGGUUAUUUCUCUCAAAUGUUGUGUUUACAUCCCUGUUAGUGAGCAUUUCUCCUUUGCCAAGAUAAUCCAUCCACCUGCCAGGUGUGGCAUAUCAAGAAGCCAAUUAAACUGCAUGAUCAUUACACAGGUGCAUCUUGUAUUGGGGAAAAGAAGAGGCCACUUUAAAAUGAGCAGUUUUGUCACACAACACAAUGCCACAGAUGUCGGAAGUUUUGAGGGAGCGUGCAAUUGGCAUGCUGACUGCGGAAAUGUUCACCAGAGCCGUUGCUAGAGAAGUCAAUGUUCAUUUCUUUACCAUAAACUGUUUCCAAUGUGGUUUUAGCAAAUUUCGCAGACCACACCAGGGGCUGAGGAGUAUUUCUGUCUGUAAUAAAGCCCAUUUGUAGGGAAAAACUCAUUCUGAUUGGCUGGGCCUAGCUCCCCAGUGGGUGGGUCUGGCUGCCAGGUGGGUGGGCCUAUGCCAUCCAAGGCCCUCCCAUGGCAGCACCCCUGCCCAGGACCUAAUGAAUUUAUUUCAAUUGUUUUAUUUCCUUCUGUG
ensembl:lncRNA